rnacentral:rRNA from 1 species
UACAGAGGUCUCAAGCGUUGUUCGGAUUCAUUGGGCGUAAAGGGUGUGUAGGUGGCGCCGUAAGUCGGGUGUGAAAGUCCAGGGCUCAACCCUGGGAUGCCGGUCGAUACUGCCGGACUAGAGUUCGGAAGAGGCGAGUGGAAUUCCCGGUGUAGCGGUGAAAUGCGCAGAUAUCGGGAGGAACACCUAUGGCGAAGGCAGCUCGCUGGGACGUUACUGACGCUGAGACGCGAAAGCGUGGGGAGCAAACAGG